UACGUAGGGUGCAAGCGUUGCCCGGAUUUAUUGGGCGUAAAGGGCGCGUAGGCGGUCACGCACGUCCGUUGUGAAAUCGCUCGGCUCAACUGGGCGGGGUCAGCGGAUACGGUGUGGCUGGAGCAAGCUAGGGGGCAAUGGAAUUCCCGGUGUAGUGGUGGAAUGCGUAGAUACCGGGAGGAACACCAGUGGCGAAGGCGGUUGCCUGGAGCUUUGCUGACGCUGAUGCGCGAAAGCGUGGGGAGUGAUCCGG
rnacentral:rRNA from 1 species